CAGGGAAACAAUUGAUCCCAGGAAUCUGAAGAGAAAAGCCAUCUGAGCUUCCACGGGAGCUGUCCGUGGUCCUGAAACCUACAAGGAAACUAACAGGGGCAGCACAGAGUGGCGUCACAAGCUGUCAGUAAUGAUUAGCCUUCAUCAACAAACAGCAGUGGCCACCUGAGCUCCGCCUGAAUGACCAGACAGCUACAGGUUCCAGGGCCAAUCCUGUCCCAGCUGAGAGGGUUUAAGGAGUUUCGAGCAUUUUUCCAAAAGGACACCAAAAAUGGUCAAUAGGUGAUGCUCAACAGAAGAUGCUCAACAUCAGUUACCAUUGGUGAAGGAAAAGAAAAUUGAAACCAUGUGAGAUAGCACCUCACACUUGUCAGAAUGGUUAGUAGCAAAAAGAUAAGAAAUAACAAAUGUGUUGGGGAGGACGUGGAGGAAAGGGAGCCCUCGACACUGUUGGUGGGAAUGCAAAUGAGCCCAACCACUAUGGAAAACAAUAUGGAGUUUUCUCAAAAAAAAAAAAAAAAAAAGUAAAAAUAGAUCUACAAUACAUAUGAUCCAGUAAUUCCACUUCUGGGAAUGUACCCAAAGGGAAAGAAAACAGGAAUUCGACGAGAUAUAUGCGCCCCAUGCUUAUUGCAGCAUUAUUCACAAUAGCCGAGAUAUGGAAGCUGCCCAAAUGCCCAUCGGUGGAUGAAUGGCUAAAAAAGAUGUGGUACAUAAGCACAAUGGAAUAUUAAUCAACCAUGAGAAAGGAGACCGUUCGGCCACUUGCGACCAAAUGGAUGGACCUUGCACACAUUAUGCCAAGUGAGAUAAGCCAGACAGGGAAAGACAAGUUGUGAAUGAUAUCACUUAUAUUUGAAACCAAAAAAAAAAAAAAAAAAAAAAGAAAGAAAAAAAUCAAACAUAUGAAAACAAGAACAAGAACAGCGAGUGAAAUGGUGGUUCCUCAGGGUUGGGGGUGGGGGUGCAGUGUUGAUGGUGUUUACGGUUACAAAAUUGUAAUGAGUUACUGAAAUACGUAGGUGUUUGAGCACAGCAAUACUGUACUGUAAGUAUGACAUGUGAUAAAAUAUCAUUACGAUGGCAACCAUAUUAUAAUGUAUAAAUGUAUCAAAGUAACAAGAAGUACACCUUAAAUUUAUGUAAUAUCACAUGUCAAAUUUAUCCAAUUAAAAAAAUGCAAACUAAAAAAACCCCCACCUUAUUCAUGUAGAGUCUUUCCUGUCACCUGGAGUAUGAUAUGAGAGUUCUAUAUGUAUUAGCUGACCAAAUGAAG